rnacentral:lncRNA from 1 species
GGGGGCUGUAAGUGCAAUCAAGCCCUAGUGGGUUUUGGUGCUAAUGACCACACAAUUAGAGGACUAAUGAGAUUUGUUGAGAUGACAAGCAGGUAAAAUAAGAAUGAGGAUAACACAUGAGAUGUGAGAUGGAAAAAGCCCAAUUUACCAAAUGUGUUGGUCCAUUGAUGGAGUUGAUUGAAAGCAUUCGGUGAUUUAUAGCACUCCAAGUUUUCAAUAGACGAAUGGCGUUUCGACUCAAGUGGCUACAA